UUAUCGGAGAGUUUGAUCCUGGCUCAGGACGAACGCUGGCGGCGUGCCUAAUACAUGCAAGUCGAGCGGAUCGAUGGGAGCUUGCUCCCUGAGAUCAGCGGCGGACGGGUGAGUAACACGUGGGUAACCUGCCUGUAAGACUGGGAUAACUCCGGGAAACCGGGGCUAAUACCGGAUAA
rnacentral:ncRNA from 1 species